rnacentral:rRNA from 1 species
CCUACGGGGGGCAGCAGUGAGGAAUAUUGGUCAAUGGACGAGAGUCUGAACCAGCCAAGUAGCGUGAAGGAUGACUGCCCUAUGGGUUGUAAACUUCUUUUAUAUGGGAAUAAAAUGUUCCACGUGUGGGAUUUUGUAUGUACCAUAUGAAUAAGGAUCGGCUAACUCCGUGCCAGCAGCCGCGGUAAUACGGAGGAUCCGAGCGUUAUCUGGAUUUAUUGGGUUUAAAGGGAGCGUAGGUGGAUUGUUAAGUCAGUUGUGAAAGUUUGCGGCUCAACCGUAAAAUUGCAGUUGAAACUGGCAGUCUUGAGUACAGUAGAGGUGGGCGGAAUGCGUGGUGUAGCGGUGAAAUGCUUAGAUAUCACGAAGAACUCCGAUUGCGAAGGCAGUUCACUGGACUGCAACUGACACUGAGGCUCGAAAGUGUGGGUAUCAAACAGGAUUAGAUACCCUGGUAGUC